GUGCUUGCUUCAGCUGCACACCUACUAAAACUGGAACUGUACAGAGAAGAUUAGCAUGGCUGUUGCACUAAGAUGAUAUGCAAACUUGUGAAGUAUUUCAUAUUUAA
ensembl:snRNA U6 U6 spliceosomal RNA